CCUACGGGAGGCAGCAGUGGGGAAUUUUGGACAAUGGGCGCAAGCCUGAUCCAGCCAUGCCGCGUGCGGGAAGAAGGCCUUCGGGUUGUAAACCGCUUUUGUCAGGGAAGAAAAGGUUCUGGUUAAUACCUGGGACUCAUGACGGUACCUGAAGAAUAAGCACCGGCUAACUACGUGCCAGCAGCCGCGGUAAUACGUAGGGUGCAAGCGUUAAUCGGAAUUACUGGGCGUAAAGCGUGCGCAGGCGGUUAUGCAAGACAGAGGUGAAAUCCCCGGGCUCAACCUGGGAACUGCCUUUGUGACUGCAUAGCUAGAGUGCGGCAGAGGGGGGAUGGAAUUCCGCGUGUAGCAGUGAAAUGCGUAGAUAUGCGGAGGAACACCGAUGGCGAAGGCAAUCCCCCUGGGCCUGCACUGACGCUCAUGCACGAAAGCGUGGGGAGCAAACAGGAUUAGAUACCCUGGUAGUCCACGCCCUAAACCGAACUAGUCAACUAGUUGUUGGGUAGGGGUUUCGUUCUUCUAGUAACGUAAGCUAACGACGNGAAGUUAGACCGCCGCGGGGAGGUACGGGCCGGCGAACGGUUAGGAAACGUAACGUAAAACGUAAGUAAGUUAAGUAGUACGUACGAGACGUAGACGACGACGGACCGACCGACGGGAACGGGAAGGGAGGGAGGAG
rnacentral:rRNA from 1 species